rnacentral:rRNA from 1 species
UGGGGAAUCUUCGGCAAUGGACGAAAGUCUGACCGAGCAACGCCGCGUGAGUGAAGAGGGUUUUCGGAUCGUAAAAACUCUGUUGGUAGAGAAGAACGUUGGUGAGAGUGGAAAGCUCAUCAAGUGACGGUAACUACCCAGAAAGGGACGGCUAACUACGUGCCAA